UCCGGGUGGAAAGCUCCGGCGGUGCAGGAUGAGCCCGCGGCCUAUCAGCUUGUUGGUGGGGUGAUGGCCUACCAAGGCGACGACGGGUAGCCGGCCUGAGAGGGCGACCGGCCACACUGGGACUGAGACACGGCCCAGACUCCUACGGGAGGCAGCAGUGGGGAAUAUUGCACAAUGGGCGAAAGCCUGAUGCAGCGACGCCGCGUGAGGGAUGACGGCCUUCGGGUUGUAAACCUCUUUCAGCAGGGAAGAAGCGCAAGUGACGGUACCUGCAGAAGAAGCGCCGGCUAACUACGUGCCAGCAGCCGCGGUAAUACGUAGGGCGCAAGCGUUGUCCGGAAUUAUUGGGCGUAAAGAGCUCGUAGGCGGCUUGUCGCGUCGGAUGUGAAAGCUCGGGGCUUAACCCCGGGUCUGCAUUCGAUACGGGCAGGCUAGAGUGUGGUAGGGGAGAUCGGAAUUCCUGGUGUAGCGGUGAAAUGCGCAGAUAUCAGGAGGAACACCGGUGGCGAAGGCGGAUCUCUGGGCCAUUACUGACGCUGAGGAGCGAAAGCGUGGGGAGCGAACAGGAUUAGAUACCCUGGUAGUCCACGCCGUAACGUUGGGAACUAGGUGUUGGCGACAUUCCACGUCGUCGGUGCCG
rnacentral:rRNA from 1 species